rnacentral:rRNA from 1 species
UACGUAGGGUGCGAGCGUUGUCCGGAAUUAUUGGGCGUAAAGGGCUCGUAGGCGGUUUGUCGCGUCGGGAGUGAAUACAUCCAGCUUAACUGGGUGCUUGCUUUCGAUACGGGCAGACUUGAGGUAUGCAGGGGAGAAUGGAAUUCCUGGUGUAGCGGUGAAAUGCGCAGAUAUCAGGAGGAACACCGGUGGCGAAGGCGGCCUUCUGGACAGUGACUGACGCUGAGACGCGAAAGCGUGGGGAGCGAACAGG